rnacentral:rRNA from 1 species
GCAGUCGAACGGCAGCACGGGUGCUUGCACCUGGUGGCGAGUGGCGAACGGGUGAGUAAUACAUCGGAACGUACCUUAUCGUGGGGGAUAACGCAGCGAAAGCUGUGCUAAUACCGCAUACGCCCUGAGGGGGAAAGCGGGGGAUCGCAAGACCUCGCGCGAUUAGAGCGGCCGAUGCCUGAUUAGCUUGUUGGUGGGGUAAAAGCCCACCAAGGCGACGAUCAGUAGCUGGUCUGAGAGGACGAUCAGCCACACUGGGACUGAGACAUGGCCCAGACUCCUACGGGAGGCAGCAGUGGGGAAUUUUGGACAAUGGGGGCAACCCUGAUCCAGCAAUGCCGCGUGAGUGAAGAAGGCCUUCGGGUUGUAAAGCUCUUUUGUCAGGGAAGAAACACCGGCUCUAACACAGUCCGGGAAUGACGGUACCUGAAGAAUAAGCACCGGCUAACUACGUGCCAGCAGCCGCGGUAAUACGUAGGGUGCGAGCGUUAAUCGGAAUUACUGGGCGUAAAGCGUGCGCAGGCGGUUAUACAAGACAGGCGUGAAAUCCCCGGGCUUAACCUGGGAAUGGCGCCUGUGACUGUAUAGCUAGAGUGUGUCAGAGGGGGGUAGAAUUCCACGUGUAGCAGUGAAAUGCGUAGAUAUGUGGAGGAAUACCAAUGGCGAAGGCAGCCCCCUGGGAUAACACUGACGCUCAUGCACGAAAGCGUGGGGAGCAAACAGGAUUAGAUACCCUGGUAGUCCACGCCCUAAACGAUGCUGACUAGUUGUUCGGGAUUUACAUCCUGAGUAACGUAGCUAACGCGUGAAGUCAGCCGCCUGGGGAGUACGGUCGCAAGAUUAAA